UAAGGAUGGACAUCGCGUGUCCUAAUCAUACUCGCUCAACACACCCGCACGGGAACGCACUAGUUUAUCCUUCGUUUCACUAAAGGUGUCUGCAUUAGACGUGAUGGCUUCUCUGCGCUUCGUCGUUGUUCUUCUGGUGGCUUUCGUCACACUGGCUGCUGUUUGCGACGCCCUUGUGCUAUGCCCUUCCUUCCCCUCCUGCUGCGCCAGGAGAUCGUGUGGGCCUCUGUGCCCCUCGUGUCGGGAAGCCAAGGAAUUCAAAAAUGGUGUUCGCAUUCGCCCCACUGGACGAGGACGUGGCCGAGGAAUCUCCUUCAUUCAUGGUGACCCCUUCGCCUUCCCUGGCAGCGACAUCUUCCCCAACCCUCUGGUCAUUCUUUAAAAUCCUAAAUCCUUCAAGUCCCAUUAGUCCCAACAACUCUCUUGUCUAAAAAGACCCCAAAAAUGAAGGACCUUCCAUGUGAUCCUUCAGUCAGGUGAUCACUAAGUGGUCAUUUCUCUGAAGGGUCCUGCUGUGUAAACACAGAAAGGACAUUUCAUUUUGGGGAGAAUUAGAGAAUCCUAGUCAGUGAAAUUGCCUCGUUAAAUCAGUGUCACUCAUUAUCAUCAAACUACCUCUAAAUCAUAAAUCAUUUAUUUGUUUAAAUAAGAUUAAAAGUAACUCUGUUAAUGUCCCUAAGUUGUCGUGCCAGUAGGGAGAAGCGAAAGGGUAAACCAAAGAAGAAGAAGAAAAAGAAGAAGAAGAAGACGAAGAGCCAAUCCGAGAGGAAGAGUUAUUUUCAAAAACUGUCGUCUUGGUUUGCCAUUCAAAAGUCUUCGACAUCUGAUCGACGCUGGAUACAAACGGAAUCUCGGGCUUCUUUUCAAUAAGGUGACCUCAGGAGAAGUUCUUUUGACGGAUAGCUCCACGAGUGUCCCUUGGAAGUUUAGCCCACCAGAUCUCCUCCUAGUGCCUCUACAGAUCCAGGAGAAAAACCUUACGUUGGUUGUCUCCCUGGAUGGUUGUUGAUUGUUCCCGUACAUCGUCAAAGAUGAUGUCAUUGUUAUGCUCAGCUAAAGAGUACAAAUUCAUUGUGCGUGUGUGUUUGAGAAUUCAUUGUAUUAUUCUAUUAUUACCAAUGGCCAUUGUAUUGUAUUACUGUUAUAUUUGAUAGAUCUAUAUCUGUGAUACUGCGUAGCAGAAAUAUAUUUUGUUGACCGGUCUACAUA